CUCAGGAUGAACGCUAGCGGCAGGCCUAACACAUGCAAGUCGAGGGGCAGCGGGGAAAAGCUUGCUUUUCCGCCGGCGACCGGCGCACGGGUGCGCACCGCGUAUGGAACCUGCCUUGUACAGGGGAAUAGCCCAGGGAAACUUGGAUUAAUGCCCCGUAGUACCGUAUUUCGGCAUCGUUAUACGGUUAAAGCCUUCGGGCGGUACAAGAUGGCCAUGCGUCCCAUUAGCUUGUUGGUAAGGUAACGGCUUACCAAGGCUACGAUGGGUAGGGGCCCUGAGAGGGGGAUCCCCCACACUGGUACUGAGACACGGACCAGACUCCUACGGGAGGCAGCAGUGAGGAAUAUUGGACAAUGGAGGAGACUCUGAUCCAGCCAUGCCGCGUGCAGGAAGAAUGCCCUAUGGGUAGUAAACUGCUUUUAUACGGGAAGAAAAAGAGCUACGUGUAGCUUACUGACGGUACCGUAAGAAUAAGGACCGGCUAACUCCGUGCCAGCAGCCGCGGUAAUACGGAGGGUCCGAGCGUUAUCCGGAAUUAUUGGGUUUAAAGGGUCCGUAGGCGGGCCGAUAAGUCAGGGGUGAAAGUCUGCCGCUCAACGGUAGAACUGCCUUUGAUACUGUCGGUCUUGAGUUAUAGUGAAGUUGCCGGAAUAUGUAGUGUAGCGGUGAAAUGCAUAGAUAUUACAUAGAACACCGAUUGCGAAGGCAGGUGACUAACUAUAUACUGACGCUGAUGGACGAAAGCGUGGGGAGCGAACAGGAUUAGAUACCCUGGUAGUCCACGCCGUAAACGAUGGAUACUAGCUGUCCGGAACCUUGAGUUCUGGGCGGCCAAGCGAAAGUGAUAAGUAUCCCACCUGGGGAGUACGUUCGCAAGAAUGAAACUCAAAGGAAUUGAC
rnacentral:rRNA from 1 species